CUGUUUUUCACUAUACUUCUUAUAUUUUAACCUUCUUCAUAAUCAUAAUCAUUAAAAAGCAAAUCCCAGCAAGACAAUCAAAGAAUGAAUGUCAAUUUAAAAAUUGCUGUGAUUUUAGAACAUGUAAGCUGAAAGGCUCAGCAGAAUGUGGUUCAGGACCAUGUUGCAGAUCAAACUGUGAGAGCCAUCAGAGAACUGAGCUGACAAGGCCAACUGCUACCCUUCAAAUUGGAGACAACCAGGCAGAUUUAGAGAAUGACAACUUCAUGUAGCAGACAUCUUAAGACAAAAACCACUGCAAGAAUCAUUACUGGAACAGGAAAACCUAUGCUACAGGUGCUGGAUCACUGGAUCCCUGCGUGGACAAGUUCCAGAGUAGAAAGAAAAUCCAGAGGGGCCUGGCAUUAGUGAGUUCGCUACACUUUCAUGGGUGUCACCACCUGGAGACUGACCAGGCUCUCUCAGUGAGCACUGGACAACACUCCCCUUCAUCCCACCACAUUUCCUACAUGGGUAGAGAAAUUUGGCAUCUAAAAUCUCAGAGAAUUCUGUUUUACUUAAUGAAGCUUAACUGAACAAAGAUUAUUUCAUCAAGGCCUAAGUGACAAAUUUAACUGAUGCUUACUUGAAUAAAGACAAGCACCCAACUCCAGCAUUCUCUAACUUUCAGAAGGAAGGAAAGCAGCCAUCCAGCUUAAGUCCACUCCAGCAUUUCAUCUGAGGGAAGAUAAAUGCCCACAUCUAGCUCCCUUGAAACUG
rnacentral:lncRNA from 1 species